rnacentral:rRNA from 1 species
GACAGAGGGUGCAAACGUUGUUCGGAAUUACUGGGCGUAAAGCGCGUGUAGGCGGCUAAGCAAGUCGGAUGUGAAAGCCCCUGGCUCAACUGGGGAAGUGCACCCGAAACUGAGUGGCUUGAGUACUAAAGAGGGUCGCGGAAUUCCCGGUGUAGAGGUGAAAUUCGUAGAUAUCGGGAGGAACACCGGUGGCGAAGGCGGCGACCUGGGUAGAUACUGACGCUGAGGCGCGAAAGCGUGGGGAGCGAACAGG